UACGAAGGGUGCUAGCGUUGUUCGGAAUUACUGGGCGUAAAGCGCGCGUAGGCGGCUUCUCAAGUCAGGGGUGAAAUCCUGGGGCUCAACCCUAGAAUUGCCUUUGAAACUGUGAAGCUGGAGUGUCGGAGGGGAUAGCGGAAUUCCUAAUGUAGAGGUGAAAUUCGUAGAUAUUGGGAAGAACACCGGUGGCGAAGGCGGCGACCUGGUCCGUGACUGACGCUGAGGCGCGAAAGCGUGGGGAGCAAACAGG
rnacentral:rRNA from 1 species